GUCCGUCUUCCUUUAUCCUCAUUUUCAUUUUGCCUCGCCCUCAUCCGCUCGCUCCCCUCCCCGCUAUCUUCCGGGAGCCGUCCUGCUCGACGCGCUCCCCUCCGUUGCCUCCUAGAUCGUUCUGGUCCUCGGCGACAUGUUUCUCCACCACCAUGUUAUUUAGCACUCCCCGGACACAUUGCUGCUCAUCGUCUCCAACCCCGUCGACGGGCUCACCUACAAAUAUGCACUUGUUUGACCCCUGGUGGCAAACUAUGAAAGUAUUCAACUCUUGAACAAAGUAUGUGUCUCAUCUUUAUUAUUGCUACAGACCCUAUUUUGUUGUGUCCUAUUAUCACUAAAAUGUGAUAUUUCUAUAUUCCUUGAAGAAUUCUUCAAAUUAAGACUUGAUUUCUAUGUUAAGAGAAAGGUGCACACCUUAACUUUGUUCUUCUCAGGAUAUUUUUCGAACACCAAGUUAACUAGUUUAUCUUUUUGCAGAAAACAUUUUUGGAAAACAUCAAGCUGGACUUGAAGAAGCUUGAAAACAAAGUUAGGUUUAUCCGUUGUGUUGUUAAUGACGAAAUUGUAGUCAUUAACAGGAAGAGGGCAGAUCUAUUCCUAGAGCUUCGGCAAAAGAAUUUUGAUCCCUUGCCAAAGAAAAAUAAGAGGGCAACAGCUGCUCUGGGAGCUAUAGUAGAGAACGAAGAAAAUGAAGAAAGUCAUGUAGCCGCAAAAGGAGAUGAUCCUUGUUAUGACUAUCUCCUCUCAUUGUCGAUUGAUACCUUGAACGUGGAGAGGACGCAGAAUCUCAUUGCUGAGAGAGAAAUUAAUAAUGAAGUUAAGGAACUAGAGAAAACAUCAGCAAAAUCACUUUGGUUGAGAGAACUUAUGCUUUAGAGAAAGAUUGGAAUAUGCUCGAGAAAAUGGAUAUGGCAGAUGAGAAGGAGAGGGAAAGAAGGAGAGAUAAGUUUACCAAAGAAAAUGUAAACCUUGCACAACAUUUCCAUGUCUCAUUUUUGUGGUGUGUGUUAGCAAUUGUUGACUGUCUGCUCGCAUAUCAAAGGGAAUGCAGCUCAGCCAGAGGUGAAACGCCUGGCUGCCAGUACCAAGAAGGAUGCUGCACCUGAGUGUGAUGAUGAUGAGGUGCCUCAUUCUGGGAAUGCAGCUCAGCCAAAGGUGAAACGCUCGACUGCAUCUAAGA